AAGUGUUGUCCCAGGUUAGCCUGUAAGUGUUGUCCCAGGUUAGCCUUUAAGUGUUGUCCCAGGUUUGCCUUUAAGUGUUGUCCCAGGUUAGCCUUUAAGUGUUGUCCCAGGUUAGCCUUUAAGUGUUGUCCCAGGUUAGCCUUUAAGUGUUGUCCCAGGUUAGCCUUUAAGUGUUGUCCCAGGUUAGCCUUUAAGUGUUGUCCCAGGUUAGCCUUUAAGUGUUGUCCCAGGUUAGCCUUUAAGUGUUGUCCCAGGUUAGCCUUUAAGUGUUGUCCCAGGUUAGCCUUUAAGUGUUGUCCCAGGUUAGCCUUUAAGUGUUGUCCCAGGUUAGCCUUUAAGUGUUGUCACAGGUUAGCCUUUAAGUGUUGUCCCAGGUUAGCCUUUAAGUGUUGUCCCAGGUUAGCCAUUAAGUGUUGUCCCAGGUUAGCCUUUAAGUGUUGUCCCAGGUUAGCCUUUAAGUGUUGUCCCAGGUCAGCCUUUAAGUGUUGUCCCAGGUUAGCCUGUAAGUGUUGUCCCAGGUUAGCCUUUGCAGUCCACAUAGGGUAUUCAGGGACAGCACUUUCUGUUUUUUUGAUGUUUUUCAUUUUAGUCUCUUGUGAGCACAAAGGCAGAAAGUGUAGUCCCUGAUUAGCCUGUGUGGACUGCACAUGCUAAUCUGGGAUGACACUUUACGCACAUGCAUUAAACCCCCUUUUCACAGAGCGUGUCUCAUAU